UGGGUGUGGAGAGAGCAGAGUGCCUGAAGAAUGGCUUCUCUGUGUACAACACACCCAACAGAACAACACAC
rnacentral:snoRNA from 1 species